rnacentral:rRNA from 1 species
GUCGAGGGGUAUGCUUCUUCGGGAGCAGAGACCGGCGCACGGGUGCGUAACGCGUAUGCAAUCUACCUUUUACAGAGGGAUAGCCCAGAGAAAUUUGGAUUAAUACCUCAUAGUAUAAUAGCUCGGCAUCGAGCAAUUAUUAAAGUCACAACGGUAAAAGAUGAGCAUGCGUCCCAUUAGCUAGUUGGUAAGGUAACGGCUUACCAAGGCUACGAUGGGUAGGGGUCCUGAGAGGGAGAUCCCCCACACUGGUACUGAGACACGGACCAGACUCCUACGGGAGGCAGCAGUGAGGAAUAUUGGACAAUGGGCGCAAGCCUGAUCCAGCCAUGCCGCGUGCAGGAUGACGGUCCUAUGGAUUGUAAACUGCUUUUGUACAGGAAGAAACAGUUCUACGUGUAGAACCUUGACGGUACUGUAAGAAUAAGGAUCGGCUAACUCCGUGCCAGCAGCCGCGGUAAUACGGAGGAUCCAAGCGUUAUCCGGAAUCAUUGGGUUUAAAGGGUCCGUAGGCGGUUUAAUAAGUCAGUGGUGAAAGCCCAUCGCUCAACGGUGGAACGGCCAUUGAUACUGUUAAACUUGAAUUAUUAGGAAGUAACUAGAAUAUGUAGUGUAGCGGUGAAAUGCUUAGAGAUUACAUGGAAUACCAAUUGCGAAGGCAGGUUACUACUAAUUGAUUGACGCUGAUGGACGAAAGCGUGGGUAGCGAACAGGAUUAGAUACCCUGGUAGUCCACGCCGUAAACGAUGGAUACUAGCUGUUGGGAGCAAUUUCAGUGGCUAAGCGAAAGUGAUAAGUAUCCCACCUGGGGAGUACGUUCGCAAGAAUGAAACUCAAAGGAAUUGACGGGGGCCCGCACAAGCGGUGGAGCAUGUGGUUUAAUUCGAUGAUACGCGAGGAACCUUACCAAGGCUUAAAUGUAGAUUGACCGGUUUGGAAACAGAUCUUUCGCAAGACAAUUUACAAGGUGCUGCAUGGUUGUCGUCAGCUCGUGCCGUGAGGUGUCAGGUUAAGUCCUAUAACGAGCGCAACCCCUGUUGUUAGUUGCCAGCGAGUCAUGUCGGGAACUCUAACAAGACUGCCAGUGCAACUGUGAGG